ensembl:snoRNA
CUCCCUCAGCCUUACUGCAGGGGCUUUUGCUAUAAAGUGCCCUGACAUUGCCAGAGGGCACAGGAAAGAGCGCCCAUCCCCAGUGAGACUCUGUGGUCUUGUGGGGCUUACAUGGUGAGCUCACAGU